UAGUCCACGCCGUAAACGAUGUCAACUAGCCGUUUGGGACACUAAGUCCUUGGUGGCGCAGCUAACGCGAUAAGUUGACCGCCUGGGGAGUACGCCGGCAACGGUAAAACUCAAAGGAAUUGACGGGGGCCCGCACAAGCGGUGGAGCAUGUGGUUUAAUUCGAUGCAACGCGAAAAACCUUGCCUACCCUUGACAUCCUCUGACACCUCUGGAGACAGAGCUUUCCCCUUCGGGGGACAGAGUGACAGGUGGUGCAUGGUUGUCGUCAGCUCGUGUCGUGAGAUGUUGGGUUAAGUCCCGCAACGAGCGCAACCCUUGUCCUUAGUUGCCAGCAUUCAGUUGGGCACUCUAAGGAGACUGCCGGUGACAAACCGGNGAAGGUGGGGAUGACGUCAAAUCAUCAUGCCCCUUAUGACCUGGGGCUACACACGUGCUACAAUGGAUAGAACAAAGGGCAGCGAAGCCGCGAGGUGAAGCAAAAUCCCAUAAAUCU
rnacentral:rRNA from 1 species